GUGCCAUUCUCCAGUUUACAUAUGCACUUACUAUGGUUGCAAUUAGUAUGGAAGAGAUGCAUUGGACGAUAACAGACAUACGAUCAGAGAUAAUGGUCUUGACCAUGGCACUGUCAGUGAUAAUCCGCGAGGUAAACCUUCAAAUUUUGGGAAAAAGCAUGAACUUCUCUUAUAGAGAAAUGAAACUUCGAGG